GGAGAUAAUUGAAUCAUGGGGGCGGUUUCUCUCAUACUGUUCUCCUAGUAGUGAUGAAGUCUCAUGAGAUCUGAUGGUUUUAUGAGGGGUUUCUCCUUUCCCUUGGCCCUCAUUCUCUCUUGCCUGUCAUCAUGUAAGAUGUGCCUUUUGCCUUCUGCCGUGAUUGUGAGGCCUCCGCAGCCACAUGGAACGGUUAAUGAGACAGCUUCAUUAAGAUGAAUAAAAGUUAUCUAAGUAAAGCCAUUCAAUAUUCCCCCAAUUUUGAUCAUUCUGGAAAAUUACUGAAUUAUGGGCACCUGACCUCCAGUUGGAGAAGAAGAACACUGCAAAUAACUUUCCAUAUGGAGAGCAUUGCAGCAGUAAAAAUGACUCUGAGCCAGAGUUAGGAAGACUUACAGCCCCAUAUAGCAAUCUGACCUCACAAGACUCUGCAUUUUACUCUGUACCAUGUGGAAGUUGCAUUCAAUAAUGUUUAUGGCCACAUGCUCGUUUGAACGUCUACUGUUUGGGAUAAAGAAAUUUCCUCAGAAAUUAUUUUUACCCAGUCAGGACCCUUCAUCUUGGAUAAAGCUUCAUUCACUCAUGUAUGUGAACUGACUUAGGGAGAUGAAAAAGACAUGGCUUUCUAACAAGGAGAAGACUGAGCUCCAAACAAGUCAUAAUCCUAGAGACAGGUACCUGGGCAAGGGUAAAAUGCUGUAAUAAAUACUGCUGGGACUUCACCCAUAUCCCUAGGAUCACUGUACUCAUGAUGGAUGCGAGAAUGUGGGAGGUCAGCUUCCUUGUUCCAGUGGGAACACACCUAAGAUUCCCCUGUGGGUCAGGCUGAAGCAACUCUGAGUAACUUUACCUGAGACCAUGUUCAUGUUUGGCUGCUUCCAUAGCCAUGCCUUGUUUCCUUUGCUCCCUCACUGAUUUCUCAGAGCAAUUCCAUAGUAAAUUAUUUGCAUGCAAAUCCUCAUCUCAUGUUGCAGUUCUGGCGAAUCUGACCUAAGCAGAUGUCUAUCUACUUUGACAGUGCUUGAUGAGGAUUAAAUAUAGUAGGUUUACAAUGACUGUUAGAAUAUAAAGGGCAAAAUAAACUCUGAUUAUUACUCCCUUAUUUA
rnacentral:lncRNA from 10 species